rnacentral:rRNA from 1 species
UGAGGUUGAUACCGGAUAUGGGAAUAUGUUUGGAAUGAUUUUUCUUUGAAAGAUUAUGCCAUAGGAUGAGUCGGCGGCGGAUUAGGUUGUUGGUGGGGUAAUGGUCCACCAAGCCGAAGAUCCGUAGGGGCCUUGAGAGAGGUAGUCUUGAGAAGGACAUUGAAAUAUUGGUCCUAGCCCUACGGGGUGUAGUAGGCGUGAAAUUUUUACAAUGUAGGGAAUUGUGAUGGGGGAAUCCCAAGUGCCUACAUUAAGUGUAGGCUUUUGUUAAAGGUAAAAAUUUUGGAGAAUAAGUGGUGGGAAAGACUGGUGUUAGUAGUUGUGGUAAUUCCAGUGCCACAAGUGGCAAUCACAUUUAUUGGGCCUAAAGCGUCCGUAGCCGGUUUGGUAAAUCUUAUGUGAAAUCGUCAUGUUUAAUGUGACGGUGUGCACAAGAUAUUACCAGACUAGGGACCGGGAGGAGUCAGAGGUAUGCCGGGGGGAGCGGUAAAAUGCUAUAAUCCCUGGUGGAUUAUUUGUGGUGAAGGUGUUUGACCGGAAUGGAUUCGACGGUGAGGGACGAAAGCUAGGGGAGCGAACCGGAUUAGAUAUCCGAGUAGUCCUAGCUGUAAACGCUGCGAGCUAGGUGUUGCGCAUUCUUCGAGAAUGCGCAGUGUCGAAGCGAAGGUGAUAAGCUCGCCGCCUGGGAAGUACGGUCGUAAGACUGAAACUUAAAGGAAUUGGCGGGGGAGUACUACAAGGGGUGCGGCGUGCGGUUUAAUUUAAUUUAAUGUAGAGAAUUUCACCAGGGGCGACGGCAGUAUGAAAGAUAGUUUAAAGGGUUUUUUUGAUGAGCCGAGAGGUAGUGCAUGGCCGCCGUUAGUUUGUGCUGUGAAGUGUUUUGUUAGGUUAGGUAAUGAGUAAGACCUGUACUCACAAUUGCUAGUGAUGGGUUUUUGGAUUGAGUAUAUUGUGAGGACUGCCCGUGAAAAUGGGAGGAAGGUGCAGGCAACGGUAGGUCUGUAUGCUUCGAAUCUCCUGGGCAACAUGCGCGCAAUAAUGGUAGGGAUAAUGGGAUGCAAUUCCGAAAGGAGGAGUUAAAUUUUUAAACCCCAUCUCAGUCCAGAUCGAGGAUUGUAAUUUAUCCUCGUGAUGUUGGAAUCCCUAGUAAUUGGAUGUUAAUAUCAUCCAGUGAAUUUGUCCCUGCUCCUUGCACACACCGCCCGUCAAACCACUCGAGUAGAGUUUAGGUGAGUUGUUGUUUUAUUGAUGUUGUUGAAUUUAAGUUUAGUGAGAUGGGUUAAGUCGUCACAAGGUA